UAGCAAUUUUUGGUUGAAAACGGGUUAUUUUACAUAAUAUAGUACAGCUUUUCUGGUUUCUGUUGUGUAUUUUUCAAUUUUUUAAACAAUUGGUUUUUAAAUUUUUGUUUUAGUAACUUGUCUGGACUAUUGCGGAGUCUCUUUCCUGCAUCUGCGCAGCUCCUGAUGUCUCAGAUCCAAUAUAUUGGAGAAAGUGCUCAUAAAAUCUGAUACAGAAUCUAUCUCAAGAAAUAUUUCCCACCCCUUAAAUUUGUCCCCUUAAUUGAGGAGUUGACUUCAUGGUGAAUUACUC
rnacentral:lncRNA from 10 species